GACAACAUCCUGGUGCUGCCGAGU
rnacentral:miRNA from 1 species